GCUAAUCUGCGAUAAGCGCCGGUAAGGUGAUAUGAACCGUUAUAACCGGCGAUACCCGAAUGGGGAAACCCAGUGUGAUUCGUCACACUAUCAUUAACUGAAUCCAUAGGUUAAUGAGGCGAACCGGGGGAACUGAAACAUCUAAGUACCCCGAGGAAAAGAAAUCAACCGAGAUUCCCCCAGUAGCGGCGAGCGAACGGGGAGGAGCCCAGAGCCUGAAUCAGCAUGUGUGUUAGUGGAAGCGUCUGGAAAGGCGCGCGAUACAGGGUGACAGCCCCGUACACAAAAGCGCAUGUGCUGUGAGCUCGAUGAGUAGGGCGGGACACGUGGUAUCCUGUCUGAAUAUGGGGGGACCAUCCUCCAAGGCUAAAUACUCCUGACUGACCGAUAGUGAACCAGUACCGUGAGGGAAAGGCGAAAAGAACCCCGGCGAGGGGAGUGAAAAAGAACCUGAAACCGUGUACGUACAAGCAGUGGGAGCACCCUUCGGGGUGUGACUGCGUACCUUUUGUAUAAUGGGUCAGCGACUUAUAUUCUGUAGCAAGGUUAACCGUAUAGGGGAGCCGCAGGGAAACCGAGUCUUAAUUGGGCGUUAAGUUGCAGGGUAUAGACCCGAAACCCGGUGAUCUAGCCAUGGGCAGGUUGAAGGUUGGGUAACACUAACUGGAGGACCGAACCGACUAAUGUUGAAAAAUUAGCGGAUGACCUGUGGCUGGGGGUGAAAGGCCAAUCAAACCGGGAGAUAGCUGGUUCUCCCCGAAAGCUAUUUAGGUAGCGCCUCGUGAAUUCAUCUCCGGGGGUAGAGCACUGUUUCGGCUAGGGGGCCAUCCCGGCUUACCAACCCGAUGCAAACUGCGAAUACCGGAGAAUGUUAUCACGGGAGACACACGGCGGGUGCUAACGUCCGUCGUGAAGAGGGAAACAACCCAGACCGCCAGCUAAGGUCCCAAAGUCAUGGUUAAGUGGGAAACGAUGUGGGAAGGCCCAGACAGCCAGGAUGUUGGCUUAGAAGCAGCCAUCAUUUAAAGAAAGCGUAAUAGCUCACUGGUCGAGUCGGCCUGCGCGGAAGAUGUAACGGGGCUAAACCAUGCACCGAAGCUGCGGCAGCGAACGUAUCACUUAAAGCGAUUCAGCGGGUUACGAUUGACGGAGCGAAGCGACGUCAAAGCGUAUACAAAGUCGAGUCGGUUUAAGGAUACGUUCGUUGGGUAGGGGAGCGUUCUGUAAGCCUGCGAAGGUGGCCUGUGAGGGUUGCUGGAGGUAUCAGAAGUGCGAAUGCUGACAUAAGUAACGAUAAAGCGGGUGAAAAGCCCGCUCGCCGGAAGACCAAGGGUUCCUGUCCAACGUUAAUCGGGGCAGGGUGAGUCGACCCCUAAGGCGAGGCCGAAAGGCGUAGUCGAUGGGAAACGGGUUAAUAUUCCCGUACUUGGUGUUACUGCGAAGGGGGGACGGAGAAGGCUAUGUUGGCCGGGCGACGGUUGUCCCGGUUUAAGCGUGUAGGUGUGUGUUCCAGGUAAAUCCGGUUCACUUUAACACUGAGGCGUGACGACGAGGCACUACGGUGCUGAAGCAACAAAUGCCCUGCUUCCAGGAAAAGCCUCUAAGCAUCAGGUAACAUCAAAUCGUACCCCAAACCGACACAGGUGGUCAGGUAGAGAAUACCAAGGCGCUUGAGAGAACUCGGGUGAAGGAACUAGGCAAAAUGGUGCCGUAACUUCGGGAGAAGGCACGCUGACACGUAGGUGAAGUGAUUUACUCAUGGAGCUGAAGUCAGUCGAAGAUACCAGCUGGCUGCAACUGUUUAUUAAAAACACAGCACUGUGCAAACACGAAAGUGGACGUAUACGGUGUGACGCCUGCCCGGUGCCGGAAGGUUAAUUGAUGGGGUCAGCGCAAGCGAAGCUCCUGAUCGAAGCCCCGGUAAACGGCGGCCGUAACUAUAACGGUCCUAAGGUAGCGAAAUUCCUUGUCGGGUAAGUUCCGACCUGCACGAAUGGCGUAAUGAUGGCCAGGCUGUCUCCACCCGAGACUCAGUGAAAUUGAACUCGCUGUGAAGAUGCAGUGUACCCGCGGCAAGACGGAAAGACCCCGUGAACCUUUACUAUAGCUUGACACUGAACAUUGAGCCUUGAUGUGUAGGAUAGGUGGGAGGCUUUGAAGUGUGGACGCCAGUCUGCAUGGAGCCGACCUUGAAAUACCACCCUUUAAUGUUUGAUGUUCUAACGUGGACCCGUGAUCCGGGUUGCGGACAGUGUCUGGUGGGUAGUUUGACUGGGGCGGUCUCCUCCUAAAGAGUAACGGAGGAGCACGAAGGUUGGCUAAUCCUGGUCGGACAUCAGGAGGUUAGUGCAAUGGCAUAAGCCAGCUUGACUGCGAGCGUGACGGCGCGAGCAGGUGCGAAAGCAGGUCAUAGUGAUCCGGUGGUUCUGAAUGGAAGGGCCAUCGCUCAACGGAUAAAAGGUACUCCGGGGAUAACAGGCUGAUACCGCCCAAGAGUUCAUAUCGACGGCGGUGUUUGGCACCUCGAUGUCGGCUCAUCACAUCCUGGGGCUGAAGUAGGUCCCAAGGGUAUGGCUGUUCGCCAUUUAAAGUGGUACGCGAGCUGGGUUUAGAACGUCGUGAGACAGUUCGGUCCCUAUCUGCCGUGGGCGCUGGAGAACUGAGGGGGGCUGCUCCUAGUACGAGAGGACCGGAGUGGACGCAUCACUGGUGUUCGGGUUGUCAUGCCAAUGGCACUGCCCGGUAGCUAAAUGCGGAAGAGAUAAGUGCUGAAAGCAUCUAAGCACGAAACUUGCCCCGAG
rnacentral:rRNA from 1 species